rnacentral:rRNA from 1 species
CUGGCGGCGUGCUUCAUACAUGCAAGUCGAACGAGAAUCUGACUUCGGUCAGAGGAAAGUGGCGGAACGGGUGAGUAAAAUGUAGAGAAUCUGCCCUAGAGAGAGGGACAACAGUUGGAAACGACUGCUAAUACCUCAUAUGCGCGUAGCUGAGAUGCUAUUCGUGAAAAACUCCGGUGCUCUGGGAUGAGUCUGCAUCUGAUUAGCUAGUUGGCGGUGUAAUGGACCACCAAGGCGACGAUCAGUAGCUGGUUUGAGAGGAUGAUCAGCCACAAUGGGACUGAGACACGGCCCAUACUCCUACGGGAGGCAGCAGUAGGGAAUUUUGCGCAAUGGGGGAAACCCUGACGCAAGCAACGCCGCGUGAUUGAAUAAGCCCUUCGGGGUGUAAAGAUCUGUCAGUAGGGACGAAACUUGACGGUACCUACAGAGGAAGCAUCGGCUAACUCCGUGCCAGCCGCAGC